AGCUUUUGUGAAAUCAUCAAAAGUCAAGUCUGCCCAGUGACCUUUGGGUUAAACGGCCGUGUAAGUGCUAAGGUAGCAUAAUAAUUUGUCUUUUUAUUGGAGAAUGGUAUGAAAGGAUGAACGAGGCUCAACUGUCUCUGUUUGUUAACUGAAAAUUGAUUUUUAGGUGAAAAAUCCUAAAUCCAAAGAAAGGACGGAAAGACCCUAUAGAGUUUUAAUGUUUUUACUAAAGUAAAGUAUUUUAGUAAUAUAUUUUUGUUGGGGCAACAUUAGAUUAAACUUCUAUGUAUUAACAUUUGGUAUGGCAAAUAAAUGAAUCCUCAAAGAGAAUUAAGAUAAACUACCUUAGGGAUAACAGCGUUAUCCUCCUUAAGAGUGCUAAUCGAAAGGGGGGUUUGCGACCUCGAUGUUGGACUAAGAAUACUACAAAAUGCAGUUGUUUUGUAAAGUAAGCCUGUUCGGCUUUUAAUUUCUUACAUG
rnacentral:rRNA from 1 species